GUGGGGAAUCUUCCGCAAUGGACGAAAGUCUGACGGAGCGACGCCGCGUGAGUGAAGAAGGCCUUCGGGUCGUAAAGCUCUGUCAUCAGGGACGAACGGCCGGUGGAGUGGAAAGCCACCGGAUUGACGGUACCUGAGAAGGAAGCCACGGCUAACUACGUGCCAGCAGCCGCGGUAAUACGUAGGUGGCAAGCGUUGUCCGGAAUUAUUGGGCGUAAAGCGCGCGCAGGUGGGAUCUUAAGUCCAUUUUUAAAGUUCGGAGCUCAACUCCGUGAUGGGAUGGAAACUGGGAUUCUUGAGUACCGGAGAGGAAAGCGGAAUUCCCCGUGUAGCGGUGAAAUGCGUAGAUAUGGGGAGGAACACCAGUGGCGAAGGCGGCUUACUGGACUGUAACUGACGUUGAGGCUCGAAAGCGUGGGGAGCAAACAGGAUUAGAUACCCGAGUAGUCC
rnacentral:rRNA from 1 species